UGUUUAUUUCUUGGUCUUAUCGCUUUCAUAAAGACUCGAUGAGUUCGCGGCAGACCUGAAGAACAAAAUCUGGUCAUGUUUUAUUGAAUAAUGUAACUGAACCUUUUCCUCGGAAUGGGAGUCCUCGCUCUUCUUUGUGUCGUGCUAUGUGGUAUUUGCGGGGGAAAUGCGGCCACUCACUCUCUGAAGUACAUCUACGUUGUUGUCACUGGGGAUACUGACUCCCCAGACUUCACCAUCACGGGUUUGGUGGAUGAUGAGCAGUUUGUGCACUAUGACAGCAGCAUCAGGAGGAUGAUCCCCAAGACUGAGUGGAUGGAAAAAUCAGUGGACAAGCAGUACUGGGACAAACAGACUCAGAAAGCGCUCUAUGCACAUCAUAUCUUCAAAGACAAUAUUGGAAUUGCAAUGCAGCAUUACAAGUCAACUCAGGGUCAACACAUUCUCGAGUGGACUGUUGGCUGUGUGUGGGAUGAUAAGACCAGGAACGCAGGAGGGAUUGAACGUUAUGUAUACGGCUGGAAAAGGUUUUUUCCUGAUGCCAUAAAAAACUGGAGUUUCAUUCCAUCUGCACAGCAGCUGUUUAUCAGUGCAGUGAAAUGGAAUCCAGCUGAGCUUGAGAAUUACAGCCAGACCCAGACCUGCAUUGAGUCACUGAAGAAGUACGUGAGCUACAGGAAGAGCACUCUGGAGAGGACAGUUGCUCCUGAUGUGUCUCUGCUGCAGAAGGACUCCUCCUCUCCUGUUGUUACCUGUCAUGCGACCGGAUUCUACCCCCGUGACAUUACGAUAACCUGGCAGAGAAACGGAGAGGACCUGGAUGUAGAGCCGGGGGAGACGGUGCGCAAUGGGGACGGAACUUUCCAGACCACAUCUUACCUGACAGUGAAGCCUGAGGACUGGAAGAGCCAGCUUUACACCUGUACUGUACAGCACAAGAGCCUGAAACAGGACAUUGUUCUGCCUGUCAAAGAGGAGAACAUCAAGAUUGCUCCUGAGGUCUCUCUGCUGCAGAAGGACCCCUCCUCUCCUGGUGUUACCUGUCAUGUGACCGGAUUCUACCCCCGUGACAUCACGAUAACCUGGCAGAGAAACGGAGAGGACCUGGAUGUGGGCGUAGAGCUGGAGGAGACGGUGCCCAACGAGGACGGAACUUUCCAGACCACAUCUAACCUGACAGUGAAGCCUGAGGACUGGAAGAGCCAGAAUUACACCUGUACUGUACAGCACAAGAGCCUGAAACAGGACAUCAUUCUGCCUGUCAAAGAGGAGAACAUAAACAUUGCUCCUGAGGUCUCUCUGCUGCAGAAGGACUCCUCCUCUCCUGGUGUUACCUGUCAUGUGACCGGAUUUUACCCCCGUGACAUCAUGGUAACCUGGCAGAGAAACAGAAAGGACCUGGAUGUAGAGCCGGGGGAGACGGUGCGCAAUGGGGACAGAACUUUCCAGACCACAUCUAACCUGACUGUGAAGCCUGAGGACUGGAAGAGCCAGAAUUACACCUGUACUGUACAGCACAAGAGCCUGAAACAGGACAUCGUUCUGCCUGUCAAAGAGGAGAACAUCAAGAUUGCUCCUGAGGUCUCUCUGCUGCAGAAGGACCCCUCCUCUCCUGGUGUUACCUGUCAUGUGACCGGAUUCUACCCCCGUGACAUCACGAUAACCUGGCAGAGAAACGGAGAGGACCUGGAUGUGGGCGUAGAGCUGGAGGAGACGGUGCCCAACGAGGACGGAACUUUCCAGACCACAUCUAACCUGACAGUGAAGCCUGAGGACUGGAAGAGCCAGAAUUACACCUGUACUGUACAGCACAAGAGCCUGAAACAGGACAUCAUUCUGCCUGUCAAAGAGGAGAACAUAAACAUUGCUCCUGAGGUCUCUCUGCUGCAGAAGGACUCCUCCUCUCCUGGUGUUACCUGUCAUGUGACCGGAUUUUACCCCCGUGACAUCAUGGUAACCUGGCAGAGAAACAGAAAGGACCUGGAUGUAGAGCCGGGGGAGACGGUGCGCAAUGGGGACAGAACUUUCCAGACCACAUCUAACCUGACUGUGAAGCCUGAGGACUGGAAGAGCCAGAAUUACACCUGUACUGUACAGCACAAGAGCCUGAAACAGGACAUCGUUCUGCCUGUCAAAGAGGAGAACAUCAAGAGGAAGACAGAUAUCAAGAUGCAUAGCUUCAGUCCUGAAGGCAGCAGCCCCCCCAUGGGCGUCAUCAUCAUCUGUGUGGUGGGCGCUCUCAUCCUCAUCCUCGGUGUCAUCAUGUGCAGAAAGAGAAGCUCAGGUGAGAGUCACUGCCACACAGAGAUACUGACACAGUGAGACUGAGUAACAGACACAAACCCACUGACACACCUUUACUCUGAGAGGCACCAGCGCAGUCACAUAAUAAAGCUGGCACACUAAUACAUUUCACAGAGUUUAAUAGUUUCACAGUUACAGUCAGACAUGCUGUGUGUAUGAUUCUAACUCUGUGUGUCUCUGUUCCAGGCUGCGUGAGGACCAUCAGUGAGUAUAUUUACUCCUAUUCUUUACUCAAUGCUUAUGAAUGUCUUUAUAAUCAAGUGUAAAUGCUCAAGGUUCAGACUGUAAUUACUCCUGAUUACAUGUCUUGAUGUGUGUUGCAGUGUUGUCCCCUGUGUGUGUGUGUGUCUGUGUGUAUGUGUGUGUGUGUGCGUGUGUGUGUGUGUGUAUGCGCGUGUGUUUUGGCUGAAUGUUUGUAUCUUAAUCAGAUCUGGAAUUCUUUUUAAUUGGCUGAAAUGAAUGUUACUGAGGUAACCUGUACCUUAAUUGAACUCUGGACAUGUAUAGAAUAACUGAGUGACUCAUAGUGAGUUGGUUGGUUGUAGAAUGAGAUUAAACAUGUUAAAUGUGCGAGUGUGUAAUAUAAGUCUGAGUGUGUGAUAUGAGUCUGAGUAUGUGAUAUGAGU